UGUCCAGGGGCGGGAAUCGAACCCACGACCUUCCGCUUACCGGGCAGAUGCCAUGUCCACUAGGUUCGAUUCCCGCCCCUGGAC
rnacentral:tRNA from 1 species